rnacentral:rRNA from 1 species
GAUGAACGCUGGCGGCGUGCCUAAUACAUGCAAGUCGAACGCAUAGCGAAAGGUGCUUGCACCUUUCAGGUGAGUGGCGAACGGGUGAGUAACACGUGGACAACCUGCCUCAAGGCUGGGGAUAACAUUUGGAAACAGAUGCUAAUACCGAAUAAAACUUAGUGUCGCAUGACACAAAGUUAAAAGGCGCUUCGGCGUCACCUAGAGAUGGAUCCGCGGUGCAUUAGUUAGUUGGUGGGGUAAAGGCCUACCAAGACAAUGAUGCAUAGCCGAGUUGAGAGACUGAUCGGCCACAUUGGGACUGAGACACGGCCCAAACUCCUACGGGAGGCUGCAGUAGGGAAUCUUCCACAAUGGGCGAAAGCCUGAUGGAGCAACGCCGCGUGUGUGAUGAAGGCUUUCGGGUCGUAAAGCACUGUUGUAUGGGAAGAACAGCUAGAAUAGGAAAUGAUUUUAGUUUGACGGUACCAUACCAGAAAGGGACGGCUAAAUACGUG